rnacentral:lncRNA from 1 species
CCUGAGCAAGGAAAGCGAUACACUUCAUCCUAGUAGCAACUUAACUUUUUCUCCUGCUCUAAACAGGGCAUUUGACCUUCUGGUCUGUGUUCCCAGUGUUCAGGCGCCAGCUGUGUUCCUGACCCCAGAAUAAAUCAGACUGCACCGGGCCUGGCUAAGCUAUGGACACAUUUCCUGUCGCGGCCCAGGGGAAGCUGUUGGCCUCAAGGACUCUGGUGGGGAUUCUGGCAGUUGGGGCACGGGGGCGGAGGAGAAGAGAGGGGAGGGGUCACCCGGUGGGGGGAGCCAGCUGUCUAGGGCGGUGACCGGGCUCCAGAGCCUCUCUGCGCUCUGGGGCAGGGCAGAUCUAAAUUGGGAGCAGCUGUGGACAGAGGGUCUUCACGAUGAGACCGGCUCUCGCCUUGUGUCUCCUCUGUCAGGCGUUCUGGCCCAGGCCUGGUGGUGGCGAGCACCCUACCGCCGACCGCGCGGGUUGCUCAGCCUCUGGGGCUUGCUACAGUCUACACCACGCUACCAUCAAGCGGCUGGCGGCCGAGGAGGCCUGCAACCUGCGCGGCGGGUCUCUCAGCACAGUGCAUGGUGGUGCUGAGCUGCGUGCGGUGCUCGCGCUCCUAAGGGCAGGCCCCGGGCCUGGAGGAGGCUCCAAAGACCUUCUGUUCUGGGUCGCCUUGGAGCGCAGACGUUCCAACUGCACCCUGGAGAACGAGCCAUUGAGGAGUUUCUCCUGGUUGUCCCCCGACUCCGGAGAGUCCGAAAAUGACACGCUGCCGUGGGUGGAGGAGCCACAACUCUCUUGUACUGUGCGGAGUUGCGCGGGACUCCAGGCCACCGGUGGGGUGGAGCCCGCGGGCUGGAAGGAGAUGCGUUGCCACUCGCGCGCCAACGGCUACCUGUGCAAGUACAAGUUUGAGAGUUUGUGCCCUGCGCCGCGCCCCGGGGCUGCGUCUAACUUGAGCUAUCGUGCUCCCUUCCAGAUGUACAGCUCCUCUUUGGACUUCAGUCCUCCUGGGACCAAGGUGAGUGCACGCUGCCCGGGGGAGCUCUCCAUCUCAGGCACCUGCGUCGAGGAAGAGAAUGGCGCUCAUUGGGAAGGGCUCCCCACUGGGGCGGUGCUCUGUCCCUGCCCCGGGAGGUAUCUCCGUGCCGGCAGAUGCUCAGAGCUCCCUAACUGCCUAGAUGACUUGGGAAACUUUGCCUGUGAAUGUGCUGCAGGCUUCCAGUUGGGGAAAGACGGACGCUCUUGUGUGACAAAGUGGGAAGGACAGCCUACCUCUGGGGGAACCACGGGGCUCACCAGGCUCCAGCUGUUCACUGAAGCCAGCCCAGUGCCAAAGAGACCGUCGUCACCCCCAGUCCGUGAGAAGCCAGGAGAGAUACCCCAUGUCAGUGGAAAAGACAGUUCUGCAACAUCUGUUUCUGAGAUUCUUCAGUGGGGAACACAGAGCACCAUAUCGACCCUUCAAAUGUCCCCUGGAAUCAAGUCAAAGGCCACCAUCACCCCAUCAGGAAGCGUGACCUCCACGUUUAAUUCCACAUCUUCCUCUCUCAUUCCCCAUACUUUGGACUCCUCAUCCACCGUGGUCUUCAUACUCGUGAGCAUAGCAGUGGUAGUAUUGGUGAUCUUGACUAUGACAGUGCUGGGGCUUUUCAAACUCUGCUUUCACAAGAGCCCUCAGUCCUCAUCAAGGAAAGGGCCUUUGGCCCCGGGGGGCAAGGAGACUGAUGCUGAGACCGCUACUUUGCGUUCCGGUUCUGCACAUUGCACAGACAAUGGGGUGAAGGUCGGGAACUCUGGUGUGCUGGACAGAGCAGAGGGCGCCUCGCUGGCAGGGUCCUCCCUUGGCUCUAGCAACACGUAGGGAAACAAGUCAUGGACACUCCUUGUGAACAUCCUUUCGCAAUUUCAAGGAAAAGGGAAAAGAGGAACUUACUUGUGAGAUGGCGAGUUCUACAGAAAUUCCCCUUCAAAUUUCCUCUAUGCCACCAAGGAACUCAUCUGAACAGCACACCCAUUCCCGGAAAGUGGAUGAGGUGGAAGUGUCUUAGUGUGGUACUGGUGGGCAGGGUGGUACGGGGUGUGUGUGUGUGUGUGGGGGGGAGGACAGUAUUUUCUUAUGUUCUGGAGAAUUUAGAGAAGUAACAGAACAUUUCAAGACACUGGAAGCAAAUAGAAAACAAUACAUUUUUAAAGGUUAUUUUUUAUCAAAAUAGGAAGGAAAUCUGUCUAUAUUGUUCAGCUGGGAACAUUACUGAUUUGAAAUUCCCAGUUAAAAAAAUAAAUAAAUAAAAGAUUGUUGAUAACCCAGACUCAAAUAUGUUGGCUCCCACAAGAAGUAACUAUUUAGGAAUAAUUUAGGAGCAUGUUGGGAAUUGUAACAAAAUUUGGGGUCUGCUGGGAAUAACCACAAGGUACCUAUUCCUUUUAGAUUGAUGGGAAAGUCCUUAAGCCCUGUGAUAGAACAGAUCUUUCAGAGCUGGUCACUUUUCCCUUUGUUCUUUUAUCCUUUGAUUUCAAAGUCACUGCUACUUGUGUGCUCUGCUAUAAAUCCACAGUGGAAUGUUUCCAGAGUUUCUGGCUCUGGAAGCAAAUUAUAGUUGACCACCAAUUCAAGUGUUUUCUGUGUGCCCUUGCCCAAGGAAACAAAUGAUUUGUGUUUUCCCUUUUCAAUGUUUGUGCUCUCCAGUGUAAUGACCUCUGCAACCAAAUCACCUUAUCCUAAAUAUUAGGAUGCUGAUCCUCACUUCCAAUUAUGGUGAUGUUAAUUCUCAAUUAAAACGUUAAUGCUAAGUAUUGAUUUGAAACCUUCUGGGUGCAUUAAAGCAAAAGUAAACUGGGUUUCUUUCAAAGUUGGUAGAUGCUUGUGCACUUUUUAAUUCAUGGAUAAACUUGAUUGUCAAUUCAUUUCCUUUUCUUCUGAAUAAGCAUGUGCAGUCACAAUACAUGUUCAUCUUGGAAUGAUUACAAUUUAACAAGAGUCUCCCUUGACAAAGGCAUGGUAAACAGCUUUUCACAGAAUUAAGAGUAGAAGGAAGAAAUGAUAAAUAAAAAAAUCUGUCAAUAAGUUAUGAUUUGGUAUUAUUAGGGAGUAAUCAAAAUGAAGCAUUUCUGUGACAAAAAAUUAAGACAUAAUAAAAAUUACUAUGUAGAUGUAUCAAGAUUUCUGAUUCUAGUUUUAAAGUGCUAAGAAUUUAAAAGUGCAAAAGGGUUAGCUCAUGGAGAGAGCUAGAGAAACAAGUUCAGUAAUGAGGAAAAACAAAAAUAGGAAAAAGCUUAUGCCAUAUUUUCACAGAAUUAUUUUGAUAUACUUGAGUGUAUAAUGUAUACAAAGGAGGAUGGACCAAAAUUAGUAAAUUACCAAAAAAUAAAAUAAUCUACUAGAAAAUUAAAAAAGCUCAAUGUAUAAGCCCAUUAUUCUAAAUAUAAGUCUCUAUAUUUGGUAUUUUAACAUUAAAGGAAUAAAGUAAUAGAUAAUUUGCUUCAUAUGCUAAAUAUGUUUCUAAGUAAUUACAGUUAAGUAAAAUCAUAAGUGAAAUAGAAUUAGCAACAUUUGAAGGAACUUUAAAAGUUAUCAUUUCUUAAGUGAAACUAAAAAUUAGAUCAAUAAUGGCUUGCCAAAUGUUCCCCAACUCUCAGCUCACCUCUGUUUUAGUGUUAUAGUUUUCCUCUUUACUACAUGAACUCUCAGUAGAGAAGGUAACUAUUGAAUAGAGCAUAUAGUGAUUGAAAAAAUACCUUCAUCUGUAACUUAACUGACCUAUAACACACACACACACACACACACACACACACAUGCACACACUAUCUUAAAGCUGUAUGCUUUUGUAUUAUUAUUUCAUGCAACAGAGAAUGUGUCAUUAUUUUAUAAGGCAACAUAUGGUAUUAUGGGUUUUGGGCUCUAAAUAUUCUUUGUGAAGAAUAAAUGGGUAUCAGUAUUAUUUGGUUAUUGUUCCUUAUUAUUCCUCUUAUUAGUAUAUCAAAAAAACUAUUUGUUUUCUUCUUUGAUUUCUUGACAGAUAAUUGCAGACCAAGUGGCACUGAAUAUCCUUUUAUUUCUGGCUCUGAAGUCUUCCCUUAAAAUGUUGAUUCUGUGGUAGAAUACAGCCAGCCAAAUAUGGUCUCUUGAGCCUAUUUGAAGUUAGGGUUAGUGUUCAGCCUCUAUAUUACUUCUCUACUAUCACUUUUUAAUUAUUUAUCAGUAUCUUUGAGGUUCCUGCCUUUCUUGCUCAAAAACUUCUACUCCCACACUCAUCAUUUAGCUUCCUGUCCACUCAUUUCCUUACAAUGAAGACUUGGAACCUAAUUGAUGACCUAUCUCUCUAUCCUAAAACCUGUCAUCAUCUUACACAAUUUAAAUCAUCUUGCACGACUCCUCCCAUGAUAAUGAAUUUCAAUUCCUUGACUUCAUCAUUUCCAGUAACUCACAGUUAAUUUUUGCCAUGUGCUUGAACUGCCUCACAAAUUUGGAUGGUUGUGAAACUGCUCCACAUCUGAAAUCACGACACAUAUGUGCAAACGUGUUGAAACGUGUAUUUAAUGAAUGUUUGCCACUGAUUAGAGGUAAACCAUUAUUGUUUGAACUUUGAUAUUCAUUCUUUCUUACAGUAAUAAGCUUACAGGGAAUAGUAGCCUGGCAUGAUAUUAUUAUUUUUCCUUUUAUUUCUUUUUGAAAUAAUUUUGUAUUUACAGAAGCUAAAAGUACCAUAAAAAUAACUCUUUUUUUUUCCUGAAUCAUUUAAGAGUAAAUUGCCAAACCCAUGACUCAUAGCCCCUGAAUAUUUUAAUAUUUACUUCUAGGUGAUCUAGUUUGUUGGCAUAUAAUUAUUCAUAGUAUUCAUAGCUAGUGAUAUUCUCUCUUCCAUUUUGGAUUUUGCUUUUUUCCUUUUUUUUUGAUGGGGAGGCAUUAGUAGUCAAUCUAACUAAAAGUCCAUUCAUUCUGUUGAUCUUUUUGAAAAAUCAAUCUUGGGUUCAUUGAUUUCCCUUAUAUUUCUACUCUAUAUUUCAAAUAUUUUUAUUACUUUGUUUCUUAUCCUUGUUUUGGAUUUACUUUGUCCUUCUUUUACUAGUUUCUUGAGAGUAGAAAUUUGGGUUAUUGAUUUGAGAUCUUUCUGUUCCAAUAUAUGAAUUUUCAGUAUAUCUCUCUGGGCACUUACUUCUUCAGUGACAUUCAACAAGUUUGAUCACAUCAUGUUAUCAUUUUUCAUUCAUCUCAAAGUAUUUUUUAAAUUUCCCUUGUGUUUUUUUUUCCCUUCAAUACACUGGUUAUUUAGGAUGAUGUUGCUUAAUUUUCACAUAUUUACAAAUUUCCCUAAAUUCCUGCUGUAUUAUUUUAAUAUAAUUCCAUCAUGAGUUAGAAAACAUAGUUUAUACGGUUCCAAUCCUUUUACAUUUAUUGAGUCUUGUUUUCUGGUCUUCCCCUAACUUGUGUAUUAUGAAAAAUAUAUAAGUGAUCAAGAAGAAUUUUGUGUUCUGAUAUUGUUUGGUAGAGUGUUUUACAGAAAUCUAUUAGGACUAGUUUAUUUAUAGUGUUUUUAAAGUAUUUUAUUUUAUUUUGAUCUUCUGUUUAGCUGUCCCAUUAUCUAAGUGAAAUCUCUAAUUAUUAUUGUUCUCUAUUUAUCCUUUCAGUUCUGCCAGGUCUGAUGCCAUGUAUUUUGGGAUCUCUUAUUAGUUGUGUGUGUGUGUGUGUAUGUAUGUGUAUGUAUAUAUAUAUAUAUAUAUAUAUAUAUAUAUAUUACAUAUCUUGGUGGAUGAGACCUUUAAUCAUUAUAAUAUUUUCAUCUUUAUCUUUAGUGACUGGUUUUUGUUUAUAGUUUUGUUUUAAGGUCUGUUUUACUUGAUAUUAUCUGGCUAUCUUUUUUUUUAUUUUAAGCAUUGAAGAAUAUCCAAGGAUUUGCACAUGCUAAGCAAGUGAUCUUCCACUGAACUAUAUCUCAGUAGGGAUAUAGGCAGGUUUUAGGAUAGAGAGAAAGGUCAUCAAUUAAGUUCCAAGUCUUCAUUGUAAGGAAAUGAAUGGACAGUAAGCUAAAUGAUGAGUGUGAGAGUAGAAGUUUUAAGGUCUGUUUUAUUUGAUAUUAUCUGGCUAUCUUUUUUUUUUAAGUAUUGAAGAAUAUUGAGGGCUUUGAACAUGCUAAUCAAGUAAUCUUCCACUGAACUAUAUCCCAGUAUUUUCAAAAAUGAUUAUAUUUUGAGAAAGAUUCUUAUUAAUUUGCUCAGGCUGUCUUUGAACUUGCAUUCCAUUUGCCUUGGCCUCCUGAGUACCUGCUGGGAUUACAUAUCCAACUGCUUUAUAGUUUUUGCUUGGUAUAUCUUCUUAUAUGUUUUAGUUUUUAACCAUUUGUGCCUUUUAAUCUGAAGUGUGCCUCUUUAUAUAUUUGAACCAUUUAAAAAAUCCAUUUUGUAAUCUCUGCCUUAUGAUUUGAGUGUUUCAUAAAUUUGCAUUUAUUGCUCUACUGUUAAGACAAGAUUCAUAUCUAUUUUCUAUUUACUUUCUAUGUCUUAUCUGUCUUGUUCUUCUAUUCCUCCAUUACUGUCUUCUUUUGUAUUAAAUAAAUAUUUUAUAGUGUGCUAGUUUAGUUCUCUUGUUUCUUUUCCUUUUGUAAACAAACGUUUAAGUAGUUGCACUGGGAAUAAAAUUUAAUAUCUUAGCUGUGCGUAGUCUAUAAUCCUAGUGGCUCGAGAGGCUGAGGCAGAAGGAUCUCAAGUUCAAAGCUAGCCUCAGCAAAAGUGAGGUGCUAAGCAAUUCAGUGAGACUCGACUCUGUUUCUAAAUAAAAUACAAAAUAGGACUGAGGAUGUGGCUCAGUGGCCAAGUGCCUCUGAGUUCAAUCCCCAGUAUCCCCCCCAAAAAAAUUAAACAUCUUAACUUAAAAACUAUGAGGAUUAAUACCAGUUUAACUUCAAUAAUACACAAAAUUUUUACUCAUAUGUAAUAAUUUAGAAUAUUUUAUAUAUUAUAUCAAAUAUAUACGAUAUAUUUAUUAUAUGUUCUACACAUUAAAUAUUAUAUGGUUUAUAUAUUAUAUAAAAUAGAUAUUAUAUAUUUUAUAUAUUAAAUAUUAUCAAUUAUUAUAUAAUUUUUGCUCAUAUAAUCUUCUUCGUUGUGUUAUUAUAGGCAAUGAAAUUAUGUAUUUAUACAACAUAAUGUCAUUAUCAUAGUUUUGGGGUUGUUGUAUUAUGCAAAUAUCAGGUAAGAGAAGAAAUGGUGUUGCAAGCAAAAAAAAUUCAUAAUGUCUUUUAUAUUCAUUUGUACCUUAACCAAUACUCUAUAUUUCUUUGUGCACAUUUGUUACUGGCUAGUGUCCUUUCAUAUCACUCCAAAGGACAUGUGUUAAUAUUUCUGUAGGUCAUAUCUACUAGUGAUAAAUUCAAUUCUUUAAAUGUCUUAAAUUUUUAAAAUAUCUUAACUUUUAAAUGUCUUAAUUUCUUUUUUAAUUUAGAAGUGUAGAAUUAGAACUUCUGCUUCAUAAUCUUUUCCUCUUUACACUUUUCCUAUGUCAUCUCACUGCAUCAUAGUUCCUAAUAAAUGCCAGGUAUUCAUUUUACUGAGGAUUCUUUCUCUGUUACUGUUUUAAACUUUUUCCUAUGAUUGCUUUCUUGUUUCUCUGCAAGGAUCAUAUGGUUAUGUCAAAAUCUGGCUGUUUUAAAUGAUGCAUGGCAUCUAUGUAAAUCUGUUUCUUGAUAGCUACAUGUAGUGUAUUGUUCCUGCUGUUUGUUCAAUUACUUUCUUUGAUUGAUUCUAAAAUAUCCAUAUUUCCAUCAAUCCCUGAAUUACUUCCUAACUAUUUUCAAGUAGCUUAGUGAUAAGCUUACCACUAAAUAGAAACUUCUCUUAAUUAUUAGACCAAUAACUUCCCCAUCCUUUAUGGAGGGACUCUAGGUGUACAUUGGAGCAGGACUUCAAUACUCAGGAGAUUUACAAUCCUGUCCUGGACUUCACUUCAUAAUUUUGAAGGGCCUUAAUCCCACCCAGAGUUGAGAAAUUUGGGCCUUCUUAGAUCUUCCCUGGGCAUUUCAAAGUUUUUCAUGUGCCUUAUGAGAGUCCCAGGAAUAUGUUGAGACUUUCCAAAGCCCCUUAUAGACAUCUCUUUCUUCAGAUCUUUAGUUUUGUCCAGCCUCUUGUUUGCUACAAAUGUUUUCCUAUGGCUGCUGUAACAAACUGGCAGGAGCUGUUGUUUUAAUUCUGUUUAAAAUAAUCAAACUUAUUCUCUCACAAUUCUAAGGGGUAGAAAUUAGUAACCAAGCUAUCAGCACAGCCAUGUUUCCUUGCAAGUCUCUUAAGAAAUAAUCAUUGUUUCCUGAUAGCAUCUGGUGGGCAAAGGCAAUCAUUGGUGUUUCUCAGCUUGCAGCUGUAUUACUCUGAUUUCUUCCUGUGUAGUCACUUUACUUCUAUGCAUGUACCUGUGUCCAAAUUUCUCUCUUUUUAUAAAGACGUCCAUCCCAAUUCAGUAUGUGUUAUUUUUUAACUUGAUUAUGUCUGUAAAGGCCUAUUUCCAAAUAAGGUCACAAUCAGAUACUGAGGGCUAGAAUUUAAACAUCUGUUUUAGGGUAGCAAUUCAACGCACAUGUACACUAUUAUAUUUUUCUCCUUAGGCUUCCCUAAUCCAUUCUUACAUCUCAAGCUAUUGUGCUGAGUUUCUCUUUCUUUUGGUCAGCUACUAUGUUAAUCAAUUGCCACUUACUAUUUUGAACAAACACCUUGAGAAUAGAGUUUUUCCCACUGAGUAAACUGUGAGGCGUAUCAAACAAUGAUCCCUGUGAAUGGGGAUCUUAGAGAUAGGUCAGAAGGUGAUAAUUCUCGAUGGAUGGGACUCUUUGAAAGCUCUAAACUAUUCUGCCCCUUCCACUGACUGACAGGCCAGUGGUUUCCCCAGCUACUUUAUUUGCAAAGCUGCUGAUUUUAAGGCUUUCUGCAGUCCUGGAGAGUGGAGAUUAAGAAUAGAGCAUAUUAAAAUGUCACAGAGCUCACUCUUCUUACCAAGAUUCAGCUAUUUUUAAUAAACACUUCUCAGGCUAUGGUGAGCCAUUGGUUAACUUCAAGACUUCUCAAAAAAUAUCAUUUUGGCAUCCAACUCCCUGGUUCCACAUUGUUUUUAAGGAGAAGCAAAUUUUCAGAAAAACAUUUUACCUCCUGAAAGUUUCACCCAUGUGUUGCUUUUAGGUGUCAUAUCUCUUUAGUGUUCUUUAAUCUGGAUGAGUUUCCUCGUCUUUUAUGAAAUCAACAGUUUUAAAGACUAUAUGCUAGCUAUUUCUGUAGAAAGUUCCUAAAGAAGUGUUUGUUUCUUCAUUCACGUUAUGCAUCUUUGACUGGAAUAUUAUAGAAGUGGUACUUUGUUUCCCUGCUUCUUAGAAGUUGACGUGUGACUUCAAAUUUCACAUUAUUUAUGUUAACUUCCAUCACUGAAUUAAGGUAGCGUCUAUCAGAUUUCACUGUAAAUUCUUUCUUUGUAAUUAUUUUGUAGGGAGACAAUUUUUGACUACACAAAUUUCCUGCUCCUCAUGAAACUUUCAAUAUUUUUGCUUAUUUUUAUCAUUAUAUUCAUAUAUUUCUACUUUAUUCAAUAAACUACUAUAAUAUUUAUGUUAAUGUUCAGUUUCCUCAGAUUUGGGCAGGGUGAUCCUCUUCAGGUUCUCUCCUGUGUCCUAACAGGUCCCGAAUAUUCUUUGAGUACUUUUUUCUAAAACAAAAAGAAAGACUUAUUUUGUACCUUCCCUGCUCAAGUUUAAGAAGCUCUAGUUAAUUUCAGAAGAAAAUGGUCAUCAGAAAAUAUGAUUUGGGUACUAGGUAUAUUCAUUAUUUCUAGAUUAUUGUUCCCAAGAGUAUCCUUAGAAAGUGGAUUUCAGGAUGUAUGUAUGUGUUCAUGUAUGCAUGUAUGUAUGUGGAUGCAUAAAUACACAUAUGUACAUACCUAUUUAUAUAUGCAUAUGUGUGUGUGUGUAUACACACACACAUUCACUUACAUCUAUAUUUACUUAUAUACUUAGCUGUCUAUACAUACUGAAAACCAUACUAUUACUAAUAUCUCUAACUCAAAUCUAACACCACAGGGUGGUCUCUUUUCUCUCUGUUUGGCUGCCUGCUCUUGAAGAUAUCAUCUUCCUACCACUUGAGCUCUGAUCCCACAUUAUAGUCUGUGGUCUCUAGUAUCGCCUACAUAAAAGAACUCUGCUUACCAAAACUUAUCCUUGUGCCAUCUAUAUAUACUCAUCUACUUAAAAAACAAAAAACAAACAAACAAAGUCUCUUGUUAAACUCUGUUUACUACAACCUUCUUCCUUCUUUUCAUCUGCUAAAUCCUCAUUCAUCUUUCAGGACCACAAAGAACAUCAUUUUUACCUGAAGGAGUCUCCAAAGUCUCAACUCCAGGAUAGGACCUAAUGGUCUCACAUUUACAUGGGAUCACCUCAGUGCCCAGCACACAAAUCUUGUUGUCAUUUUUUAAUGGAUGUUUUAUCAUCCUACUACUUAACUUUUAUCUCAGAUUUCUAAUAUUUAUUUAAAAAGAUUAAAUCCAUGUCCUUUUCCACCUUAAAUGUAAUGGAAAAUACAACAUGUCUUACUAUAGCUUAAUGGUUUGUUUUUUGUCAUAGCAACUGGAAGAAGUUUUUUAAAAUUAAUGAUCCUAGUAUCUAUCUACUGACAAAAAGAAAAAAAUCUCAUCAAUAUUAAGUUAAAAAUAAAAUCUUGUUUUGGGUGGAUAUUUGUCAAAAUGUAACUGAUUAGAUGAAAUAGCUCCACUUAUGUGUGAACUUCUUUUAGUUGCCUAGAGGUAUAUUUAGCAACUAAUUCACAUUAGAGGACAUGAUGUGAGGUUGUACUGCUCAGUUCAUAUUUUAUAGGAACAUUACUGAUAUUUCUUCCCAGCCAAACUGAGUGUUUAUUAAUUCAUAACAAGAAAUUAUCAGACCAGAAGUAUAAAAUAUCUUUGAGUGUGCCGAUAUAUAGCAUACAUAACUAUUCUUAAUUCAUAUAUAUGCAAUAUAUUGAUAAGUUAUAGAUAUUAGAAAAUUCAUAGAAUAAAGAUAAAAAUAACUAAAAUAUUUUGUUUCAUUUCAGCACAAUAUUUUUUUCACUGUAAUACUAUUUUAUUCACUAUGAUUAAAAAUAGUUCAAUAUCUUUUUUAGCAGCUUUACUGAGGCUAAUUUGAGAUAAAUAAACUAUGCAACUGUGAAGUCACUAUUUGACAUUUUUUACUUAUUUAUAAACAUGUGAAACCAUCGUUAUAAUCAAGAGGAUAGAUGUAUGGUGCUUAGAAGCUUCCUCAUUAGUAAAAAAAAAAAUAAACAAAAAACAACAAAAAAAACAAAGUCUUUCUUCCAGCUUCACCACUCCCAUAUCAUUAAGCAACCACUGGUAUGUUUUGUACAUUAUUAGCAUUUUCUGGAAUUUUAUGUAAAUCAAAUCAUACAGUAUGUAUUCAUUUUCUGUCUAGCUUCUUCCACUCAGCAUAAUGAUUUUGAGAUUUACUUAUGCUUUAUGUCCAUUCCUUUUAUUGGACAUAUGAUUUAUAUAAAUGUUGGUAAGAAUGUUCACCUCUGUAUUUAUGAGGGAUGCUAUUUUAUAAUUCUCCUUUCUUACAAUGCCUUUGAUUGGUUUUGAUAUAAAAGUAGUAUUGGCCUCCUAAAAUGAGAAGUAAAUAUUCCCUUCUUUUCAGUUUCUAGAAGAUCUUGCAUAAAAUUUACGUUAUUAUAACUUUGUGUGAUGUGAUAAUUCACCAAUGAAACCAUCAGGGCCUAAAGUUUUCUUUGAUCUACAUAUCCAGUUUCUUAAAAAAAAAAAAAAAAAAAAAAAGCCUGAAUUCUUACUCAGGUUAUCUAUUUCUUUUUGACAGAGUUUUGAUAGUGUGUUUUACUCAAGUCCAUUUCAAUCAGGUUGUUGAAUUUGCAGACAUGAAAUUGUUCAUAAUAUUCCUUCAUUGUCCCUUUUAAAAUCUGUAGGCUCUGUAGCAAAAUCACUUUUUUUUCUUUCUUGAUAUUGGUAAUGUGUGUUUUCUUUCUGAUCAGUAGGGCUAGGGAUUUAUGAAGAUUAUUUAUCUCCAAGAAGUAGCUUUGGGUUUCAAUGGUCUUCUCUUUUGUUUUUCAGUGUUCUAUUUCAUUGAUUUAUGUUUGAUGUUUUCUUCUGCUAUAUACUUCUUCUGCUACCCCUUUUCUACUUUCUGGUGGAAGAAGCUGUGGUCUUUGAUUUUAGAUCUUCCCUCUUUUCUAAUACAAACAUUUGAUGCUACUAAUUUCCAAGUACUAGCUUAAUUGCAACUACAUAUUUUACAUUUUGCACUUACAUUUUUAUUCAGAAUACUUUCUCUUUUAACCCAUGGGUUAUUUAAAAGUAUAUUAGUUAAUUUUGAAGUACUUGAGGAUUUUCAAGAUGUCGUCAAUUAUUAAGGUUAUCUAGGUUAAUUACUAAUUUAAUUCUCUUGUGGUCCGGGAAUAUACACUGUAUGACUUGAAUUCUUGUACAGUUAUUGAAACUUGCUUUAGAUUCCCAGAAUAUAAUCUAUCUUCUAAAUGUUCUGUGUAUACCUGAAAAGGUUUAUUUUAUGGGAUUGGCUAUGUUUUACAAAUGUUGACUAGGUUGAGUUGGUGGAUAGUAUGCUUCAAGUUUUGUAUUUUCUUGUUGAGAGAGGGAUGUUGACCAGAAGUGUAAACUAUUUAGUCUAUUUCUUCUUGUAUUUCUGUAGUUUUUUUCUACUUAUUUUGAAGCUCUGUUAUUAAGCUUAUAAACAAUCAAGACACUGUUCUCUUAAGAUUAGAUUCUUUAUUAUUUUGAGAUAACUUUUUGUCCUUGGUAACAUAUCUGGUUCUAAAAGUACUGGUCUAUCUUUUUAUAAGUGUCAGCAUAGUAAGUAUUUUUUCAUCCUUUAACUAUUUGUGUCUCUUUAUUUAAAGUAGAUUUAUUGAAGGCAGUUGUAGUCGAGUUUGGCUUUUUUAUCUACUCUUACUCUCUAAUGUUUAAUUGAGGCAUAAAUACCACUCCUGGCAUUGCAUAUAAUCUGAGCACUUUUAUUUCUCAUCCUUUUUGGGUGUUUUUUCCCCAAGUUCAAAUAGUUUCCUCUAGCCCGUGAACUAAUCAACCAGCAACUGAAUAGUCAUAGGAUUUAUGUUAUUUGUUUCCCAUCCCUUAGGGAUUACUGUUCCUCAUUUCCUUAUAUCCAAUAUCUUAUUGAUUCGUAUAUUUUAUCCAGUUUUUUAUUUGUUUCCGGCAGGAAGAUAUAUCAGGUCCAUUAUUUCAACUUGGUAAACAAUGGGAGUUUGUUUCAUUAUAUUUAAAAUAACAAUACAAAUUAAUAAGAAAACUUGCUAAUAAUAGUGAGCAAUUAUGUUGUACAAGGGACUCGUUUGGGGACCUUAUAUGCUGUAACUUAGUUUAUCCUCUCAAUAACUCUGAGGCAAGCACCACAACAAUCCCUAUUUUACCACUAGACAUUUUCAUAAUCAUUUGACAAAUAGUAUCCUAAAAAACUAGUAUAUAAAUAUAAAAACUAUAUUAUUAUGCUGGUGAACACCAAAACAGAUGAAAAUAAAUUUUAAAACAUGUGACCUGUGUUUUACAAAGUUCUAAUUAAAAGAGUUUGGAGUUUUAUAUUAUACUUUAAACAUUUCUUCUUAAGAUAGGCAACAAUUUUAAUUACCUAAAUACACUAAGAAUUAUUCUUAAGAUAGGCAACAAUUUUAAUUACCUAAAAUACAAUAAUAAUUAUUCCUAAGAAAACCAAAAGUCUCUGUGUUUGUUCAAGUAUCUUAUAGCUAAUAAUUUAAUUAUGAAAUAAACCUUUAUCUGUAUAAUAGUUUAAAAGAUUGUAUUAGCCAUUUUCCUAGCAAAAAUGAAAUAAAAUAACAGAUAAAUAGCAGAAAUAACACAUUUCUUAGAACUCUAUUUUUUUUUCUUCUCCUUCACUCCUUUUCCUUACUUUUGCUGGGUGGUAGAGAGAAUAUUAAAAACACAUAAUAACACCAACUGUUAUUUACCUGAAAACUUUUAGUAUCUUCCUGCUAAUCUGUGAAUAGGAUUCUGAAGGCAAAUUUUUUUUAUAUGUUACUAGAGCUAUUAGUAAGGAUUUGAGUCCCUGAAGGGACUACUGUGUCUUCUGAAAAUCGAAAACAUGUUUACAGAUUUGCUUUUCAAACUCUAAUAUCCAGAAUUGUGCCUGGC